CGCCAAUAGUAUUUGAAUCAAGGAAAGCUGAAUUAAUUUUCUUAAUUGCGGAGAAGACGUACGAGUUGAAUGAGCUCACUACAGAAUUACGAGAAUUAGAAGAGCGUGGUGCUAGAUGCCAAAAAAAACCAAGGAGAAAGAGGAUGACGGAAAUGUAACUGAAGAAAAAAAAAUCAAAGAGGAUAUGGAAGCUAAGGAAUAUGAGAAUUUGGAAGGAACUGCGGAAGCCGAUUUAUGUGAUGACUUUGUGAUGAGCCCAAGAGACAUGAGAAUUUUAGAAGAUGCUCGAGAUGUUUCUCAAAAAGAUGAAGGUGGUAAUGAGAAUAACAGAGAAACGCCAUCUA